CCCCUACCACCCCUUUUCGCUUCGUUUAGGUUCAACUCCUCUAUAGUGAUAUGGUUAAUGGAAAUAACCCCCUUUUUCAAUGCAUUUUGCCUAAGAGCAUUCCCGCUCAUCUAACGUUGUAAUUAGACGCCCUUUAAUCACAUAUCAGCAGUCGGCGCAGGGCAGCUAGCACCAUUGAGGGACAGGAAGCAACCCUUUAAUCACAUAUCGGAACCAACAUAUACUAAUACUGAUUCCAUUCCACCUGUACUAUACUUAUAUAAACCCUUUCUCCACCUGUACUAUACUUAUAUAAGCCCUUUCAUAGAAGGGACCCUCUCUCUACAUUAUGAUUCUUUACAACCCAAUCCCGGAAAGCUGGGUUGGCGCUUCAAGGAGAAAGAAUGGAAUUUGGCUUUCACUUUUCAGGCAGGGAAAGAAUAUGACGUGCACAUCAUCUAAAGUAGGGGACAUGAUUGAAACAAGUACUGUGGUAAAGCUGUGAUAGGACUGAAUCUACCCGUGCAUCCAAUAAAGAGAAGAACCUAAAUAGACCCAUAGCAGCAAUGGGCACAGUUAUAGAAUCCAUUGAUUAUUUACCGGCCUUUAUGACCUUAGGCCUGCUCGAUGGAAUUAACCAUAGCAAUUGGCUGGCACAGUUAUAGAAUAUAUUGAUUAUUGCCCGGCUAACGCACUCUCCAAAGCUCUCACCUCUUAGCCUAAAAAAGCGCUCUAUUCGCUUAGCCUAAAAAAGCACUAUUCGCCGUCUCACUUGAAAACGAAAGCUGUUACCGAUCCCUUGAUCAUAUCAAAAAGAGCUAUUCGCAUUCGCGCCUCACUUGAAAACUAAGGCUGUUACCGAUCCCUUGAUCAUAGUUAGUAUAUCGAAUAUAAUUGAGCCCCUACUUACUAAAUUUCAGAAUUAUUACACCCAAUAAUAGAGACUAGCUGAUUGAGUUCGCCAUCGUCCCCAUCACUACAUUAUAUCCCGUUACCCGGACUCUAACCAUUCUAUCCCUUUACCCUGACUCUAACAUAUGAUCUGGCCUGAUUCACCCACAUGGAAAGUGCUUUUUUCGCUUCUUUCACCCUAAGCCUUUAAUCACAUAUCUUCACACGAACCCAAUACACUAGGAAGAGUUUCCGUCAAGCAAGGAAUCCUUACCACACUUACUAGUUCGGAUACCGGCGUAGACUGUGAUGAAUCGAGUGAGCAGUAUAUUAUAUGAAUAUGAAAUAGUUAGUUCCUGAACACAGGACUUAUUAUAACAAUUCCUUUCCCUU
rnacentral:lncRNA from 1 species